AUGAAAUUCUAAAAAUUCGUAUGAAAUAUUUGGUGAAAAUUUAAUGAAAAGUUCAGAGUUUUCUUGCGGAUUUUGAUAGGGAAAUAGCUGCAAGUAAAUCCCCAUAAAAAUUCCCAAGCGCAUGUAGACAUUUUUAGAUAAAUUUUUUAAAUUACUACAAUAUUACUACUAUUGUAGAAGCAGCUAAGGAGAGGAGCUUGGGGUCGCAGGGUUAUUUUGGAGAAUUGGGGUAAGAGACACAUGCUAUUCUGUUACUUUGACACAUCCUCAUAGAUUGUCGCAAUUCCAUGAAAUUGAAAGAUGAAACUGAACGACACCGUCUAUCACAACGUCUUCCGUCAUUUUUCUGCUCUGUUUCACUCUUUUCUCUCCCUCAUCAGUUCACAGUGUGCUGUCUGUAUAGUUAUUGGUAAGAAUGGAUUUAAGUUUAUUAUUUAGAUACUACAUCCAGACUUGCACUAGAGGUAUUUGAGAAAUUUCCGACGAGAAAGAAGGGGUGAAGUAUUUGAGAAUGGAGAGGAACGUUAGGAAAUUUACGAGGAAAAUUGUUUCGCCUGAGAAUGCAAAUACUGAUUCCAUGUCUGCUGUUUGUCAAGAUGGGGUUCAAGUCACUGUUGAAAAAUUGCCACCGCCCGAACCUAAAAAAUGUAAGAUCAUUAAUGUCAGGCUUGCUUAAAAUAGGGGAAAUGUAGAACACUUAAGUUUGCUUUAUGAGUUUUAAUUUGGACUUCGGAAAGGUAUGAAAUUCUAUUUUAUAGUGGCUGCAUAGAUUUUGUAGAUAGAAUAGGAGAAUGAGUAUAAGCUCAUUUUGUUCUUUGUAAACAAAAUUCUUUUCAGCUCACUCAUGGAUUUCAAUAAGCAAAAAAAUUUGAACCAACUGACGGCCUCAUACACAGAGCCAACGGAUCUCUUCUUCAGUAAUUGAUAACACUAGAUAACACCAGAGAUUAGAACUUACUAUAUAAUGUUUGGUAGCGUCUAGGAUCAAGAAUAGAUGCUAAAGCUCUCAAACAUUGUGCAAAUAAAACCUGUUGUUGCA